rnacentral:rRNA from 2 species
UGGGGAAUAUUGCGCAAUGGGCGAAAGCCUGACGCAGCGACGCCGCGUGAGGGAUGAAGGUCUUCGGAUCGUAAACCUCUGUCAGAAGGGAAGAAACUAGGGUGCUCUAAUCAUCAUCCUACUGACGGUACCUUCAAAGGAAGCACCGGCUAACUCCGUGCCAGCAGCCGCGGUAAUACGGAGGGUGCAAGCGUUAAUCGGAAUCACUGGGCGUAAAGCGCACGUAGGCUGUUAUGUAAGUCAGGGGUGAAAUCCCACGGCUCAACCGUGGAACUGCCCUUGAUACUGCACGACUUGAAUCCGGGAGAGGGUGGCGGAAUUCCAGGUGUAGGAGUGAAAUCCGUAGAUAUCUGGAGGAACAUCAGUGGCGAAGGCGGCCACCUGGACCGGUAUUGACGCUGAGGUGCGAAAGCGUGGGGAGCAAACAGG